UACGACGCCGAUACGAUAGUGCGGAUACGU
rnacentral:piRNA from 1 species